rnacentral:piRNA from 1 species
UGAUGAAUCCUUGUUAAUGUAGGUGUUA